UGCCCCCUAGGGUCCCCCUUCCCUCCCCCACCCUCACCUGCUGUGGCCCUCUUUCUGAGUGUCCUGUUCUCUCACCCUCCACGUGGCCGUCCCCCCUUCUGAUCUGUCCCUGCAGAUGGGAGCCGGGAAUACGUGAAUGUGUCCCAGGAGCUGCCACCCGUGGCUAGGACCGAGCCUGGUGUGUGCUGGGAUGGGGGGUGGCAGGGGCUUGGGGUAACGUGAAAGGUAAUGUGCCCGGGGCAGGAGGGACGGUCUGUGAGCUUAAGACUGAUCUCUUUCCCCUUCCAGCCAUCCUGAGCUCCCAGAACGACGACGAGGAAGAGGGAGCUCCAGAUUAUGAGAAUCUGCAGGGGCUUAACUGAGGGUCCGGUGAGAGGCCCUGCCCACCCUUCCGCGGCCCCUCAGCCCUAUCCUCCGACUCCUUCGGGGACCCCUCGGACCCCCACUGACCUCCUGACAUUGCAACCCCUCCCUCUCCCUGUCCUGUUGUUUCAGCGCGAGGCCAUGCCUGUCCUCGAACCAGCCUUGCUCGGGAGUGCCGAGCUGGGCAGCUGGCAGUGGCUCUGGGGGACCCUCCUAGGCACCCCACCCUGACUGCAGCCUGAGAACAGCCUGAGAAUCUCCCCCCUAACUUAUUGUCACUUUGGGGUCCAGUCUGUGUGCCCCCAACACUCUGCACCUUCUGACGCAGCCUGAGAAUGAGCUACCCUGGCCCCGGCCCUAUUCGGCGGUAGAAUAAAGGCUGGUGUGGUCUGU
rnacentral:lncRNA from 1 species